rnacentral:rRNA from 1 species
ACGUACACUCCUGCGGGAGGCAGCAGUGGGGAAUAUUGCACAAUGGGCGCAAGCCUGAUGCAGCCAUGCCGCGUGUAUGAAGAAGGCCUUCGGGUUGUAAAGUACUUUCAGCGGGGAGGAAGGCGAUAAGGUUAAUAACCUUGUUGAUUGACGUUACCCGCAGAAGAAGCACCGGCUAACUCCGUGCCAGCAGCCGCGGUAAUACGGAGGGUGCAAGCGUUAAUCGGAAUUACUGGGCGUAAAGCGCACGCAGGCGGUCUGUCAAGUCGGAUGUGAAAUCCCCGGGCUCAACCUGGGAACUGCAUUCGAAACUGGCAGGCUAGAGUCUUGUAGAGGGGGGUAGAAUUCCAGGUGUAGCGGUGAAAUGCGUAGAGAUCUGGAGGAAUACCGGUGGCGAAGGCGGCCCCCUGGACAAAGACUGACGCUCAGGUGCGAAAGCGUGGGGAGCAAACAGGAUUAGAAACCCGGGUAGUCCCAU